rnacentral:rRNA from 1 species
CCUACGGGAGGCAGCAGUGGGGGAUAUUGGACAAUGGGGGAAACCCUGAUCCAGCGAUGCCGCGUGAGGGAAGAAGGUUUUCGGAUUGUAAACCUCUGUGGAGGGGGACGAUAAUGACGGUACCCCUUUAGGAAGCCACGGCUAACUACGUGCCAGCAGCCGCGGUACUACGUAGGUGGCGAGCGUUGUCCGGAAUUACUGGGUGUAAAGGGAGUGUAGGCGGGAAAGCAAGUCAGAAGUGAAAACUAUGGGCUUAACCCAUAGCCUGCUUUUGAAACUGUUUUUCUUGAGUGAAGUAGAGGCAAGCGGAAUUCCUAGUGUAGCGGUGAAAUGCGUAGAUAUUAGGAGGAACACCAGUGGCGAAGGCGGCUUGCUGGGCUUUUACUGACGCUGAGGCUCGAAAGCGUGGGGAGCAAACAGGAUUAGAUACCCUGGUAGUC